GACGAACGCUGGCGGCGCGCUUAACACAUGCAAGUCGAGCGAGAACCGGCCCUUCGGGGCCGGGGACAGCGGCGAACGGGUGAGUAACACGUGAGUAAUCUGCCCUCGGCACCGGGAUAGCCCGGGGAAACCCGGAUUAAUACCGGAUGGCCUCUAGAGCCCUCGGGCUCGUGAGAAAAGGUAGCUUCGGCCUCCGGCCGAGGAGGAGCUCGGGGCGGAUUAGCUUGUUGGCGGGGUAACGGCCCACCAAGGCGACGAUCCGUAGCUGGUCUGAGAGGACGAUCAGCCACACUGGGACUGAGACACGGCCCAGACUCCUACGGGAGGCAGCAGUGGGGAAUCUUGCGCAAUGGGCGAAAGCCUGACGCAGCGACGCCGCGUGCGGGAAGAAGGCCUUCGGGUUGUAAACCGCUUUCAGGAGGGACGAAGCCACUCGGGUUAAUAGCCCAGAGGGUGACGGUACCUCCAGAAGAAGCCCCGGCUAACUACGUGCCAGCCGCCGCAGUAAAAC
rnacentral:rRNA from 1 species